rnacentral:lncRNA from 1 species
GUCAAUGAGCUCCGUCUGGUUGGAAAAUAAUCUGCAAACUCAAGCCUUGCUUGGUUCAACAGGGCGUGUUCAGCCUCGUCGAAUUCCUAGCCUUUAGAUUUCUUUCAAGCACAAACUGGCUUCCACACAGAGACCGCUGGGGGUAACAUCACGACUUUGUCUUGAGGUGCUCUCUUCGUGAAUGCUCCCAGGAACAUAGCUCUGGCAUAAAACAAGGUUUGCCCGUGGCCACUUGAGAACACAUCCCGUGAGGCAACAAUGUUGAUGGACAAAAUAGAGCAGAGUGUUAAUUUUGAGGCCCGUCUAACCUCAGUGACAGACUCACAAGGAGGAUACAUAAUGUACAGCCGAAUCUGCAAGCUCCUAUUUUGUCAGCUGCUUGUGUUGAUUAAAACUUCAAUAAAGAUCCUGUGAUAAA